UCAAUUGUGUAAUAUGAAGAGAAAUCAUGGUGCUUUUCCUUUCGUCGUGUACAAAAUUGUUUCCCGUUCAUUACUUAAUUUGUAGAUGAAUAAUAGGGUACUUAUUAUUUGCGUGCAUGGAUUUCAUUCAAAUAGAAUUUUCAAAGACAAAUUAAAUGCCAUACCUUACUAAACUCAGAUUAGCGCAUCCAGCAGAGAAAAGUUGUGUACUUAUUCCUAACAGUACCAAAUAAUUUAAAUUUUGAAUGGUUUUCGUCAGCAACUAUUGUGAGUUGUCUUUGCAAUUCCACAUAGUAAUCUUAUAUUUACUAAUUGGAGGCACCAUCCGAGAUACCACGUUAAUCCUAGAAACUAAUCAAAAUUAUCCGUUGGAUAUCCCCAUUGGUUUUCUACAACCGUGGGAUUGUAUCUGGCAAGAAGUCCAUGCACUUUAUACCACCUGCCACGUCAAAUCCUCAUCUAUAGGCUGCAAAAGUGGAAAAGAAAAAAGAAAGGUAUGUACAACCAUAAGAUGAAGAUGCUCAGGAUUCCUUGCAAAAUAUUUAGUCUGGCUGCGGCUGGCACUGAUGCCCUCUUGCCAAAAACAGUAGUAACAAUAGCACACACCUCAGGUAAUUUGUCCUCCUCAACCGAUGUUCAAUUGUGUCUCUGAAGCUUUUUAUGGGUACAAAUCAGGAACAGUACAUACUACGUGAAGGUGGUGCAGAGUUUUGUUAAGGUGGUGCAGAGUUGGAGACCUUAUGGCUCUGUAAACAUUUUGUGUAGCGAUCAUGUGCUAGACUAAUAAUUUUUAAGGUGACAACAUUGUGCAUCAGAUAUUUUUCAUUCUCAUUAUGAUACUUGAUGUGUGGUUGAUUGUUGGGCUAAAUGUUUUAAUGACCUGAAUUGGUUACAAGUGCACCACAUUUUGCUUUUAAUAUCUUAAUCAUAUUUCAAACCGAUAUCUUACAGUUGGCCACUUAUACCUCUGCACAUAUGCAUGCAUCGUAGUGUAUAGUGUUAUCAUCCAACCUGAGGGAAAAUGAAAAAAUGUUGUAAUAAUACGAGUAUGCAUACAUAUGUAUAAUUAACAACCUGAGGGAAAUUUAUACUCAACAAGGUUCGAAUUUAGUUCUCGAUCUUCUGUAUGUAUCUUAGUAAAUUGGUCGCUACUUGCAGGAAAAUGUGUCGGACGAAAAAGUUAAUAAUGCAUCAGUACAGCUUACAUCAUCAGUGGAUUUACAGUUCAAACUUCUGUGAGGGGCUGUGCUGCUGUCUGCCCAUGUCCCGAAGUGCAUUUGCUAGGAGAUAUUUAUCCUUUCUAUUUUACUUGAUCCAGUAUGCAUCCAUCCUGAUAGAUGAUAGAUCUGCCAUAUGCAUGAAGUGGAUGCACCGGGACCUCAAACCAGAGAAUUUCUUGUUUGCAAACUGGAAAGAAACGGCUGCACUGAAAGCAAUUGAUUUUGGCCUGUUUGUUUUGUUUUUCACUCCAAGUAGAGUCAAUCCUAAUAUCCUAUAUGGCUAUCGUUGAAGCUUUCCAUUUUGACCCGUCUGUCACUUGUCUAUGAUAUGGUCAGAGGACAAAGCUGAGCUGAUACAGUAGCCUGUCUUAUGCUAUAUUUAGUUUUUGUUUUGACCUUGUGAAACUUGCUACCUAUGGAUGAAACUGUGUA